rnacentral:rRNA from 1 species
GAUGAACGCUGGCGGCGUGCCUAAUACAUGCAAGUCGAGCGAACGGACGAGAAGCUUGCUUCUCUGAUGUUAGCGGCGGACGGGUGAGUAACACGUGGAUAACCUACCUAUAAGACUGGGAUAACUUCGGGAAACCGGAGCUAAUACCGGAUGAUAUUUUGAACCGCAUGGUUCAAAAGUGAAAGACGGUCUUGCUGUCACUUAUAGAUGGAUCCGCGCUGCAUUAGCUAGUUGGUACGGUAACGGCUUACCAAGGCAACGAUGCAUAGCCGACCUGAGAGGGUGAUCGGCCGCCCUGGAACUUGAACGCCGUCCAGGGUCCUGAGGGAAGGAGCAGGAGGGAAUCGUACGCAAUGGGGGGAAACCUUGCGGAAGGACCGCGCGGGGGAUGAGGAAGUGCUCCGGUCGGGAAACCCUGGUUAUGGGGGAAAACCUAUUUGGAAUGUAACGUAGAGAACCUGACGGUAACUGAUCAAGAAGCCCCGGCUAACUACGUG